UAGUCCACGCCGUAAACGAUGGAUGCUAGCUGUACGAGGUAUCGACCCCUUGUGUAGCGAAGCUAACGCGUUAAGCAUCCCACCUGUGGAGUACGAGCGCAAGCUUAAAACAUAAAGGAAUUGACGGGGGACCCGCACAAGCGGUGGAGCGUGUUGUUUAAUUCGAUGCAAAGCGAAGAACCUUACCAGGGUUUGACAUAUUGACUAAUCACUUCGAAAGAAGAGAGUGCCUUCGGGCCGUCAUUACAGGUGCUGCAUGGCCGUCGUCAGCUCGUGUCGUGAGAUGUUGGGUUAAGUCCCGCAACGAGCGCAACCCCUAUGUUUAGUUGUAUUUCUCUAAACAGACUGCCCUGGCAACAGGAGAAGGAGGGGAUGAUGUCAGGUCAGUAUUGCCCUUACACCCCUGGGGCUACAAACACGCUACAAUGGCCGGUACAAAGGGGCUGGCCAACCCGCGAGGGGGAGCAAAUCCCAUCAAAGCCGGGUACUCAGUUCGGGAUAGCAGGGCUGAAACUCG
rnacentral:rRNA from 1 species